rnacentral:lncRNA from 1 species
AUCAAUAUUCGGUCAUAUGAUUGGUGCAUCCACUAUCGAUCACCCAUUGUGUUCCAUGAGAGACAUAGUCCUACAUGAGUCAAGCUUUGAAUUUAGGCCCCCAUUCUACAAUGGGUCCUAGAGAGUUAGCAACUAGAGUCCUAGGAACCCAAAUAGUCCAUGCAUAAUCAUCAUAGUUAGUACCAACAAAUUUUGCAAUGUAUAACCAUCCUCUCCUAUCAUGAGGACAUAGGACGGAUUGUUAGUGCCACAAAAAUCUUUGGGAAUGGUUUUGUCCCUAGUGACCUUGUCAUCCCCAAUUUUCCCUUUAUCCUUCCCCCUCUCCUUGUGUCCUUCUUAGACAAAGACUAGAUUUUGUUGAGGAGGAGCAGUAGUACCGAUUUUCUUGUUUCUCCUCUUCUUCUUGUGCUUGUUUAUCUU